GACGAACGCUGGCGGCGUGCUUAACACAUGCAAGUCGAACGGAAAGGCCUGCUUUCCCUUGUGGAUUGCGGGUGCUCGAGUGGCGAACGGGUGAGUAACACGUGAGUGAUCUGCCCCCAACUUGGGUAUAAGCCUGGGAAACUGGGUCUAAUUCCCGAUAGGACUGCAGGGUGGUGCCUGUGGUGGAAAACGAUUUUCUAGUGGUUGGGGAUGAGCUCGCGGCCUAUCAGCUUGUUGGUGGGGUAAUGGCCUACCAAGGCGGCGACGGGUAGCCGGCCUGAGAGGGUGGACGGCCACAUUGGGACUGAGAUACGGCCCAG
rnacentral:rRNA from 1 species